GUGAGCCAGAAUGUGUUAGAAGCCGUUGAAUCGUCUCCUUGCGUUGUGAUCUGGCUGUUUGGUUGCACUUAAACUUCCUUCUCACAAUGACACCACACAUACCAAUUUUGGUAAGUCUUAUAUUGUGUGAAUGGAAUGAGUAAGUGACACAAUCAGCAUCAUACAUUUUUAAUAUAUAAAUUCUUACAUAAUAAAACAAUACUGUUUAUUUUUAUGAGCAUUUAUAUACAUGAACAUUUCAUAUUAGUGCUUAAAUAUACACAAAAGAUUACGUAUGAGCUUUUUAAAAUAUUUUACACAAAUCCGUCUUUGUACAUAAACUAGUGUCUCCAUGACUUCAAGUGUCUAUAUGCUGUUUGCUUGCUAGUGUGUAUCCAUGUACUAUUGUGUCUGUGUGUUGCUAAUUUGGUUGCAUAAGUAGCUGAUCAUGUAUGUGAGACUAAACAUGCAAAUGUUUGUGUGGAUUAUGGGACCCCGCACAUUUUUUUUCUCCAAGGUAAAGAUGACCCUGGUUAUGUGGUUAUGGUAAGCAAGUCUGUGCUUCAUAAACAGGGGCGUGCAGAAGAGUAUGGUGUUGCAGCAAGUAUAACAUCCACUAUAAAAGAUAAUGUAGGUUUACAGUAGGCUACAGGUUUCAAUUAGGUAGGUUCUUUAUUUAAAGGCUUGAGGAAAUGUGUUUGAAAAUUUAAAAUGAAAUAAACUGGCCACAUGCACAUUUAAUUCUACCAACAAUACAAUAUUAGCAUCCACAAUGCCCUGGGUAAAAUUCUACACACAUUUUGAAAUGAUACACAUGAAGCGAAAAAACACCAGUGAUCUAAUAAAAAGUUUGACCUAAAGUUUUUGAAACUCGUCAUUUCUGUAACUCAACUGUCCCACUAUAAAAAAGUCCAAUUCAUAUUCACCGCUUAUAUACAUUAUUCUCUUUGAAAUGUAUUUGCAACUCUCUUGUGUCCAGGGUUUAUUUCCUUGAGACUUGACUUGAAUCACUCCUUUUCAAACACAGCCCACUGAACAUUACAGUUUCUAAAACAAGUUUCUGAUGCAGGUAGCACGUAUUUAAUGAUCUGUUCAUAGAUCAACAUAUACAGGGUUCUUUACUAAAGUGAGAAGUCAAAGUGAAUUCAAAGUGAAUUUCACAUUUAAGGCCAAAGUAGCCAACCUGAAAGCGUAGCUGUCUUAGAGAAUGUUUAUGUAUCUGCUAUUUUGAUCUUAAUUUUGAAAUUCACUUUGAAUUCUCACUUUAGUGUAUAACUCUAAUAGAGAGCAUUGGUUUCACUCACUCUGAUUUACCUAAUUAUUUUUUCCUGAGUUAUUUAGAAUUUCAGAAUGUUGCUGCCUUUGAUCGAUUCAUACUCUUAUUAUUUUAAACGUUUGUCUUUUCAUGACAUCAAAAAGUAUGUUUUACUAGACAUAAGCACCAAAAUUAUAGAAGCACAGCAACGUUCUGCCAAUUUGUCCAAGCUCCUUCCUCAAAAUACAAAAAUAAACCCCUCUAAUUGAGUGUGAAAAGUCCCAUAGAAAAAUAUGGAAACCCCAAACACGGGUGUACUUGUGACAAACUACACUUUGCCACUGUUUUUUGGAGGGUCCUGCUUGCACGCCUCCUACCCUGGGACUAUGGGAACUGUGAUAACCUAUGUUAAAAAGUACUGUUUCUGCCCCUUGGACUUUUAACUGGAACAGAUUCAAACAUGUGGCGGCGGCCAUCUUAAAUUGUCCAGCAGUGUUUUGCCGUUGAGUGUUUGUAUGUCAGCCAUCAGUUAAAGUCAAAUCUUAGGCAUGUGGAGUGUGACUAGGAAAAUGUGGAAGCUUUAUGGGUAGAUAUCUGCUUGAGGCAAACACUGGGAAAUAAAUUAUUGGUUGGGAUAUGUUAUAAACCACCAAAUGUAAAUAUUAAUGCGGAAGAACUGCUGUUAGAGCAAAUUGGGAAAGCUGCAAAUCGGGGUAACGCGUUAAUUAUUGAAGAUUUUAAUCACCCGGACAUAAAUUGGGAUAGAGGGACUAGUACUUCAGCAAGGGGAAUCCAGUUUUUGAAUGUGUUAAAUGACGACACCUUUAUGUCACAACUGGUACAAGCACCAACUAGAAAGGAUGCUUAUCUGGAUCUCGUUAUAACAAACAAUGUUGGUCUUUUAACCAACAUUCAAGUUGAGGAGCAUUUGGGAAAUAGUGAUCACAAAAUGGUAACUUUUGAAAUAAAUUCAAAAAAGCAAAAGCACGUGGGGUAUAUUAAAAUAUAUAAUUUUAAAAAAGCCAAUUUUAAUAAGAUUAAGGCAACAUAUCGACUGGCAUAAACUCCUUAGUGAUAAAAACACUGAGGAAAAAUGGAAACUAUUCAAACAAAUAUUAGAAAUGUACAUUUCACAGUAUGUACCAUUGGGUAAUAGAGAUUAAAAAUAAGAAAAGGGCAUUUAAAGCAUUUAAAUCGGACAAAUCAGAGGCAUCCUAUAUAAGAUAUAGGGAAGCCAAUAAUACUUGCAAAAAGGCAAUUAAAGUGGCUAAACUAGAAAAUGAGAAACUGAUAGCCAAAGAAUGCAAAACCAACCCCAAAUUUUUUUAUCAAGUACAUCAAUUCCACAGACACCACAGACAACUAUUCCUAUGAGAGGCUAAAUCAGAGGAUGUGGGUCUGCUUCACUCUGUUGUCGCACUGUUUCUGGUAAUCAACCUUUCUUAUUUACAUGUACCAAUUGUAGGCUGUUUAACCUUUUUAGUGGUCUCAACUAACACUAGACCCUGGCAUUCUUCAGAUAAUAACAGGUGUUCAGAUAGACUUUGUGUCUGAUUCACUAUAGGGAGUCCACUUGACCUCUAUAAAUGUCUCAACCAGACGACGUAGCAUUGCAGUCCGAGCUCUGGAGCCUCAGGGACAAAGGAGCUAUCAAACCAUCGAGCUCUUCUCCAGAAUUCAUCAGCAAUAUAUUCCUAGUCAGAAGAAAUCUGGGAAAUUUUGUGCUGUCAUCAAAUUAGGAGACCUAAAUCUUUCCGUUGUGUAUGGACAUGUCAAGAUGGAGGCCAUUCAUCAUUUAUGUGACCUUCUCUGCGAGGGAGAUUCAUUCUCUUGCUUCAACCUCACUGUUCCAAUGGCCCACUCCUAUCAGUGUUGCCUACAACUCCUUUGGCAUCUCAACCUCUGGCAAUUCACCUGCCUCCUUUUCAGUCUCUCAUCCGUCCCUUGGUGCUUCACCAAACUGAUGAAACCAGUUAUGGCUCUUCUGCAUUCUCAAAGUGUCAGGUCCAUUAUAUACUUCAACAACAACUUUUUGAUUUCUCAGUACAUGGAAACUCAUGGACGACACAUGGAGAUGACGACGCACUCCUUCAAAAUCUCGGUUUUGUGAUCAACGUCGAGAAAUUUGCACAUGUUCCUUUACAAUUUCUGAUUUUUCCGAUAUACGCACUCUAUCCUCCAGCUCUUAUCCUCAAAAAUAAAAACCAUCAAGGAGGACACAAUCGAAAACUACUAUGCUCCCCUCACAUCUAUUUUUUCAAAUUUGCAAGAAUCAUAGGUCUCCUAUCCACUUCCAUUCCAGCCAUCUUCCCGAGCCCAUUGCACUAAAGAGAGACUCAAUGCCUCAAAACGUACUAUCUGCAAAAAUCUAUGUCCUAUGAUCAACAAAUGUAUCUGACCCAGGAAGUCUGUUUUGGAGUUGGAUUGGUGGCUCCACAAUAUAAAACUAUGGAACAGAAAAGCAAUAAUAGGCUACCAGCAGGAUGUCACCCUACAAUUAGAUGCCAGUCUUUAUGGCUGGGGGAACAACCUUUUGGUUUCCGUCAGAACAGGCUUUAAACAUAUACACAAUUGCCUAGAAUUAAUUGUCAGUUUUUUUGCAGUACACAGCUUUGCCAAGGACACCUACAAUUGCUUGUUUGUUCUUUGGAUGGACAAUGGUUCAGCUUUCCAUUUUGUGAAUCAUUUAGAUGGUUCAUGUUCCAAACUCUUCCUGAAGAAACUUUACCAGUUUUGCUUAGACAAGAACCUGUUCCUUUGAGUGAAAUAUCUUCUGAGUCCGAACAACCUUGUGGCAAACUGGUUCUCUCAUCACAGACUCAAGGGAUUGGCAAUUGGAUCCACACAUUUUCCAUCAUCUUCAUCUCAUUCAUGGUCUUCUUUACCUAGACCUCUUCUCUUCCCACUUGAAGCACCAGAAGCUUUCUUUGGCUGGAUACCAGACCCACCGGCUCAUGCACGUGUACCUUCAAUCAUGGCCAAUGUCAGGAGCUUAUGCUUUUCCACUUAUGAUUCUCCUAACUCUACACAAACUCAGAGCUCUUGGUGUUACAAUCUACCUUAUCACUCCUCUUUAGAGCAACGUAUGAUAUUCUCCAGUAGGCGAAUUUCACCCUCUCAUUUUUUAGAGUAACCUUCAGCACAUGGCUUAGACAGUUUCAGGAGAUCUUGGAAUGUCUCAGGACUUUUGAGCACUGCUCUAGGACUACAAGGGGAUUCAUGGGCUCACAGAACAUGCAGUUCCUACCUCUCCAUUUGGCAGAUCUGGAAUAGCUGGUAUGUGAAAGGGAUAGCGAUCCCUUUGCAGCAUCUUUAAUUGGCAUCAUGGCUUUCUUGUUUCCUUCUUUAACCAAGGUAAAUCCUUCAAUCUGUUAUACUAUUUUGUUCCACUACUUCCAUGGCUUCUGUCUCUAUUGGCAACUUAUUAAUAGGCAGGUAUUCCUUUGUCUGAAAACUCUUAAGAGAUAUCAGGCUCCUACUCUUCUCUCUUCAAAGUUCUGAGAUGUGGCACAAGUUUUUACAUUUUUGAAAUGUAAACCUUCUUAUUCAGAUGUUUCUGUAUGACAACUUUCAGCUAAACUAGCCUUACUCAUUUGUCUGAUUUCCUUUUGGUGAGUUUUUACAAGGAAUAGUUAAAGGAUAUUAACAUGCAUAGCUUGGAGGAAAGACGAGACAGGGAGGAUGUGAUAGAAACAUUUAAAUACAUAAAGGGAAUCAACACAGUAAAGAAAAACUACCACAACAAGAGGAUUAAAUUAGAGGGGCAAAGGUUUAAAAAUAAUAUCAGGAAGUAUUACUUUACUGAGAGGGUAGUAGAUGCAUGGAAUAGCCUUCAAGCUGAUGUGGUAGAGGUUAACACAGUGAAGGAGUUUAAGCAUGCAUGGGAUAGGCAUAAGACUAUCCUAGCUAUAAGAUAAGGCCAGGGACUAAUGAAAAUAUUUAGAAAACUGGGCAGACUAAAUGGGCCGAAUGGUUCUUCUCUGCCGUCACAUUCUAUAUUUCUAUGUUAUUUUUAUUAGACCUUUUUGAUUUCCAUGCUGUAGUUUUUCCACCAGAAAGGGUUUAUUUUUCUAUCACCCUUUGCACAAAAACCUCUUUCAUCUUCUGUGUUCUAUCUGUACUUUCCAGACACUGACUGUGGCAGACCUGGUAUCAAUCCCUGAGGUUGCCAGGACCCAUAUUUCAUUUUCCUGAACAAUACCAUAUACCCCUGUUUGGGAACCAAACAGAACUUGUAUGGCCCCCCUCGUUAUUGACUUAGAACACCCCUGGCUGUUGACCACAGUUAAAGGAUUAACACAAGUGCUUUCCUUGGCUGUCCGCUGUUCGUAUAGCCAAACGCAUGUGGUCCAGUGCAUGGCGGCCAUUUUGUCUCACAGGCAGCAGUACUUGCUCGUCGAGAGCAUAGAACUAAUUUUGGAUUCACGUAUUCGUGAACCACAGUCAGGAUGGUACUGCUGCCUGUAUACGUUCAUGACCAACUACGUUCAGGAGAUAGGAAUGACUGACCGGGGGAGCAUUCGUUUCCGAAGAGCCCGGGGGGAGCGUUCAUCUGUGUUCGUACAGGAACUCCGGAAUGUAUACCGGCCACUGCCCUGGAUUCUAUGGAACUCUUUUGGGGCAUCACCUCGUGGCCGGCCGGUCAAAUCUUUUCCAGAAUAGCGAUCCUGUUCUGCCAAACCAAUCUGAGCGCUUUUCGGAUAUGUUUUGCACUUAGAUACAGGCUAUUUGGGGAUAUAAGAAUUGUGGGGUUCCUGUAAUGUUUUAUUAUAUUUUCUGGAGUGUUUUAUAAUAUUUUAUGUAUUUCCUGUAACUGAGAGAAUUGAGUUAUGAAAAUUCCCAGCUCAAUUAUCUCUCAGACCAAAGAAGCUGUGCAUUAAAAGCCGUGUGUGGGCUUAUAAAAAUCAGUUGACUCCCAGAACUGUGUCGUCCAGUUACUGGGGGAAUGGGCUAUGAUCACUGACCAGCGUUUUCUUCCAGCUCCAGAGGAUUCCAACGGAGAUCAUGUAUCUUAGGAUUGCAGCUCCGCUACACUGACCCUCUUCUCAUGUAUCUUUCCUUUUGAUUUCCACAAGUUAAAAUAGCAAAUAUGAAGCAUCUUGUCUUGCUUUAAAAUUAGGGAUUAUUCUAGCUUUAGUGACCGAAUAAUCUGAAUUUUAUUAAAGAAAGGUGGCAAAUAUUUUCCAACCCUUUCUUUUUUUUUUCCCUCCCUGAAUUUAGGUCACUAACUCUCUAACUGAUUUUCUUGUCUGGUUAAAUUUAUAUGUUAUCAUUCAUGAUUACAUUGAAUACAUGAUUGCGUAUUCUAUAUUGGUCUUAUGCUAUCAUAUCAUGAGUAGUAUUCAUUUUGACAUAUUUUGCCAUAAUUGUGAACUACUUAAAGGUUAUUGCAUGUCUUUGCAUGUUUCUCACCCUUAUCAAGAACCAUACCAUACUCAGAGUAUUUUCUCUUCCUUUUUAGUGUGAAGAACUGUCUCCACUAUCAAGGCGCUUCUCUUGUUCUUCAUAAAGUUUCCUGUUUACAUGGUUCUCUACAUCGCAUCUCGUUUGGACUGUUCCUGUUGAUAUGGUUGACUACAUUGGAGUGGCUGCAAUAAAUAAAGAGGAAGUGGGAGGAGCCUCACAUAAUAAUGUUACUGAUCUAGUAUAGUAUAGUACAUGUACUGAGAGUAGGGUGUAAUUUUAUUUAUCUAUGAAUCAGUUUGUGUCUACUUGAGUCAGCGUAUGUGUCAGUCAGAUGGAGCGAAUGAGG
rnacentral:lncRNA from 1 species